CAGCAGCCGCGGUAAACCGUAGCAUCCGAGCGUUAUCCGAACUCACUGGGCGUAAAGCGCGUGUAGGCGGUUCGGUAAGUUGGAUGUGAAAGCUCCCGGCUCAACUGGGAGAGGACGUUCAAAACUGUUGGACUAGAGGGCGGAAGAGGAAAGUGGAAUUCCCGGU
rnacentral:rRNA from 1 species